ACAGGAUGGUACAUUCCAACCCCUGAAAAGCCGCCGCCCGCGCGCUUCUCGCUCUCUCUCGCCGCUGGGUGACCUGCGUGGCCCCGAGGCGCCGGGGGGAAGAGGGCGGCGGCGGCUGCCCGAGCGCGGCCGGGGCUGGGCGCCUCGUGCGCGGCUGAGGGAAAAAUGGUGUCUUGAAGUAUAAGAAUCUGUAGACUUCGAUAUUUCAGAGGAGUGAGAUGCCUACGGGAGAGGUGGAAAGCAGCUCCCUUGAGCUGUGGUGGGCCUUGGACCAGACCUAAUCUGGGUGGAAAGGAGAACUUGGGUCAUGGCUUACCAAGACUUGGUAGAAAAGUGGAGCCUUCUAUUCUUCAGACCCUCUUAAUACACAGAUUCAAGGUCAAGAGCUGAAACUGGAUAUUGCAUAAUUAUGGAAGUUAAAUGAGAUUCCUGCAGUAAAGAAAAUACAGCACUAGAAAGUCUUUUUGGGUGUCCAUAUCGCAGACCCAACAGGCUUGCAAUAGAAGAACAUCCAAAUGAGCCUGAGAAUUAGCAACUCUUCUUUUUUUUUUCUGUGAGCACUACUAAAUGUGUCUGCUCACUCUUUUACAAGUAAAAGAUGCGUACUGUUGAGUGCACAAAUUAAAAUGUUCAAAUCAUUGUA